UGGGGAAUAUUGCACAAUGGGGGAAACCCUGAUGCAGCAACGCCGCGUGAGUGAUGAAGGUCUUCGGAUCGUAAAGCUCUGUCUUCAGGGACGAUAAUGACGGUACCUGAGGAGGAAGCCACGGCUAACUACGUGCCAGCAGCCGCGGUAAUACGUAGGUGGCGAGCGUUGUCCGGAUUUACUGGGCGUAAAGGGAGCGUAGGCGGACUUUUAAGUGAGAUGUGAAAUACCCGGGCUCAACUUGGGUGCUGCAUUUCAAACUGGAAGUCUAGAGUGCAGGAGAGGAAAGCGGAAUUCCUAGUGUAGCGGUGAAAUGCGUAGAGAUUAGGAAGAACACCAGUGGCGAAGGCGGCUUUCUGGACUGUAACUGACGCUGAGGCUCGAAAGCGUGGGGAGCAAACAGGAUUAGAUACCCCAGUAG
rnacentral:rRNA from 1 species